rnacentral:lncRNA from 1 species
CGCCGCCGCCAUUUCCACCACCACCACCACCGCCUCCGCCGCCGCCACCGCCAUCACCAUCCCCAUCCCCUCCAUCCCAGCCACGUCAUCCCCCUCUACCGCCGCCUCCACCACCGCCACCUCCUCCACCACCACCGCCACCGCCGCCGCCAUUUCCACCACCACCACCACCGCCGCCGCCGCCGCCACCUGCCAUCACCAUCCCCACCCCCUCCAUCCCAGCCACGUCAUCCCCCUCUACCGCCGCCUCCACCACCGCCACCUCCUCCACCACCACCGCCACCGCCGCCGCCAUUUCCACCACCACCACCACCGCCUCCGCCGCCGCCACCUGCCAUCACCAUCCCCACCCCCUCCAUCCCAGCCACGUCAUCCUCCUCUCCGCCGCCUCCACCACCGCCACCUCCUCCACCACCACCGCCACCGCCGCCGCCAUUUCCACCACCACCACCACCGCCGCCGCCGCCGCCACCGCCAUCACCAUCCCCACCCCCUCCAUCCCAGCCACGUCAUCCCCCUCUACCGCCGCCUCCACCACCGCCACCUCCUCCACCACCACCGCCACCGCCGCCGCCAUUUCCACCACCACCACCACCGCCUCCUCCUCCGCCUACCUGCCAUCACCAUCCCCACCCCCUCCAUCCCAGCCACGUCAUCCCCCUCUACUCACCGCCUCCACAACCGCCACCUCCUCCACCACCACCGCCACCGCCGCCGCCAUUUCCACCACCACCACCACCGCCGCCGCCGCCGCCACCGCCACCACCAUCCCCAACCCCUACAUCCCAGCCACGUCAUCCCCCUCUACCGCCGCCUCCACCACCGCCACCUCCUCCACCACCACCGCCACCGCCGCCGCCAUUUCCACCACCACCACCACCGCCUCCUCCGCCGCCACCGCCAUCACCAUCCCCAUCCCCUCCAUCCCAGCCACGUCAUCCCCCUCUACCGCCGNN